AUUGAACGCUGGCGGCAUGCCUUACACAUGCAAGUCGAACGGCAGCACGGGAGCAAUCCUGGUGGCGAGUAGCGAACGGGUGAGUAAAGUAUCGGAACGUGCCCAGUCGUGGGGGAUAACGUAGCGAAAGUUACGCUAAUACCGCAUACGAUCUAUGGAUGAAAGCGGGGGAUCGCAAGACCUCGCGCGAUUGGAGCGGCCGAUAUCAGAUUAGGUAGUUGGUGGGGUAAAGGCUCACCAAGCCGACGAUCUGUAGCCGGUCUGAGAGGACGACCAGCCACACUGGGACUGGGACACGGCCCAGACUCCUACGGGGGGCAGCAGUGGGGAAUUUUGGACAAUGGGCGAAAGCCUGAUCCAGCCAUGCCGCGUGCAGGAUGAAGGCCUUCGGGUUGUAAACUGCUUUUGUACGGAACGAAAAGGUUUGGCCUAAUAAGCUGAGCUCAUGACGGUACCGUAAGAAUAAGCACCGGCUAACUACGUGCCAGCCGCCGCAGUAA
rnacentral:rRNA from 1 species